ACCCCGGGCCCGAUCUCCCACCCUCUGUCUACCUACCUCAUGUUGCUUUGGCGGGCCGCUGGGCCUGGCCCACCGUCGGCUUCGGCUGNNGCGCGCCCGCCAGAGACCCCCUCAAACUCUUGUUUAUCAGUGUCGUCUGAGUACUAUGCAAAUAGUUAAAACUUUCAACAACGGAUCUCUUGGUUCUGGCAUCGAUGAAGAACGCAGCGAAAUGCGAUAAGUAAUGUGAAUUGCAGAAUUCAGUGAAUCAUCGAAUCUUUGAACGCACAUUGCGCCCCUUGGUAUUCCGAGGGGCAUGCCUGUUCGAGCGUCAUUACACCACUCAAGCUCUGCUUGGUAUUGGGCCCUCGUCCUCCCGGGGACGUGCCCGAAAAUCAGUGGCGGUGCCGCCUGACUUCAAGCGCAGUAAUUUCUCUCGCUUUGGAAGGAAGGGUCGGUUGCCUGCCAGACAAACCCAUCAUUUUUUCUAUGGUUGACCUCGGAUCA
rnacentral:rRNA from 1 species